CAGCUUGGUUGAAAAAAGGAGCGAUGUUUCCAGCCUCAUGGAUGAUCCAAGGAAGUUAUCCUCAGCUUUCAGGAAGAAGCUGGAGCCAGUGGAAAUGUUACAACCCUGAAAGGGGAAUAAUGGAACAGGACUGAAGCUUUUAGGAUUAUAGCACUACCUCCCAUACAACUGAAAGGAAAUGGAUAACUAUGUGUGGAAACAGAGAGGCAGUGGUGACCAGUGUGCUCCAGACCUUGUCCUUUGUGCUGCUGCCUCUGGGCCAUGGAGUCCCAGCAAACACCUCAUACAGGUCUGCUUGCUUUGGAUUGUUUCUUCACAAAGGGGGAAAUGUGUUUCUCCCCUUCUCAUUUACCUUUUCCAAUGUUUCAUUUCACUAAUCUCUCUUCUUUUCUUAACAGCUUUACUUCCUUCAUUGUUGUUUUUUUCUUUAAUUUUACUUUAUUUCUAAUUGCCUCAUCUUGAAUGAGCUUCCAGUGUCUAAAAUUAGAAUUCUUCAGAAUCCUAAGAAGAUCUAAGGAGACAUUAAAUGUGUUCCAUUUUCCAAAAGACAAAUCUGGAACAUUUAAAUUGUUUACUAAAGGUCAUAUAAUACUAGGAUUCAAAGUUCUUUACCAUUGGGACAUUUUAUCUAAGGAAUGAUUGGGAUUAUAUACAUCACACUACCUUUCAAUCAGAAAUUUAUCAAGGAAAACCUGCCUUAUAGUAUGACCUUUGGCUUUUAUAAUUCAGAUUGAAAGAAUGCUUGCUCAUUUUGCCACUGAGCACAUUAGCAUCCUGUAUCUUCACAAGGUUAAUUUAAUGGACUGCUAUGCAUAUUGAUGAAUACUUCUGUGUUUUCUCAAAGUCACCAAAUUAGAAUUUCUGAAUGUUCAUUAGCCACAUAUGCAAUAGGAGUAGUCUAAAGUCAAUGAAUUUCUGUUAUGCCCUUUCUAAAACUGAUAUUAAAAUUGCAUAUGCAAAUUUAAGUUCAAAUUGUUGUG